rnacentral:lncRNA from 1 species
UUUUCUUCUUACCCUUCACUCACUUGAAUUUAUAGUAUUCAAGUGAGCAAAAUAAAGUUAUAAAAGUUAUGGCACUUGUGCUGUUAUUAUCCAAUUUUCAAGGCCACAGAAAACAAUGAGAGUAAGUGAAGUAUUAGGUGACAAUGACAAGUGGAAAUGAAAAUGAGUUUGCUAUUUUCUUGAUGUGAAAAUUGCAAGACAAUGUGAGUUGACUAUUCUACCCUUCCAAGUUGAUGGAAAGUGCACUUGGCAACACCAUCAAAUCAAGUACAAUAAGAAGCCCAAGAUUGAGUUUUGGGUCUGAUUGAGGCUGAAAAAGAACAAAGUGUAUGAUGUUAACAUAUACAAAAUAAGUUACCAAGGUUGAGUGAUAUAAUCUCGAAAGUGUAUUACGAAAAUCUGAAAUUAACCUAAUUCAUUCUACAAGUUAAAAAUAAAUUUCCACUAGUUUGUAAUAGCCAAAGAGAUGUGAAAAAAACCUUCUCUUAUGAAAAAUCAUUGAACUUAAUGUAAGUAUGCUUACUAAUAUGUUGCAAUUUAUUUUAAAUUUGAAAAGUCACUAGCUAUACAUCAAAAUUACCAAUUUUGUUAGGGUGGAAGUAAUUUUCCCCUUAACACUUGAAAAAGUUACUAGUUAAUCCAAACAUACACAAUUACAUGAAAGGUUACUGAACCUACACUAGUAAACAAACUUAAAUAAACCAAUAAUUUUUUCACAUAAAUGUUAUUAAUCAUCUAUAAAAGUUGCUGCUGACCAAUAAAUUGUCAUGAAAACUUAUUAGUCAUGGAAAAAAAAUUGUACUAAAUUGUUACUUCUCAUUUAUUGGAGAAUGUAUUGUUAUGGAAUUCAUUAGUUACACCAAAAAAAAAAAAAUUCAUUAAUAACUAUAGACAGAUGCCUAAAUGCUUACUUUCUUAAUGUGAAUAUAUUUAAUUAUAUAUAUAUAGAUUCCGUAGGUUCGCACGUUGUUUCUCUUCUUGCAGACUGAAACGGACGGCGAUGAGUCGAUGACUCAAUUCGGUAAGCGUCCAGAAGGCAGAGUCCCCUCUGACAUGUCCUUUUCGUUCCUCCCCCACUGUCCCCUCCGUCGCCGCCUCGUGCGAGUGGACCGUGAGAGUUGGGGCUGUAGCCAUGUGAUCUCAGUGGAGACGUCUGUAGCCAUGUGAUCUCAGUGGAGACGACUGGACCCACCCACUCAAUGUUCAUCACUGAAGAUGCCAUGUCCGUUCGUCCUCUUCAUCCUCCGCCUCUCGCGCACGGCUUGACGGGUGCAGUGGCGGCUGGAAGUUGGCGUGGGAUUGGCUUUCGUGACUUUAGUCGUCCGCAGCCUCCCAGACGAGGAACCGGUGGAGAAAGAUUAGGGUUUCGGUACUUGCCGUUUUAGCUUUAGGGGGAAGUUAGAGGUUUUUCUUGUGGUUCACGAAGAAGAAAGAUAAUUUU